rnacentral:rRNA from 1 species
ACACUAUCAUUAACUGAAUCCAUAGGUUAAUGAGGCGAACCGGGGGAACUGAAACAUCUAAGUACCCCGAGGAAAAGAAAUCAACCGAGAUUCCCCCAGUAGCGGCGAGCGAACGGGGAGGAGCCCAGAGCCUGAAUCAGUGUGUGUGUUAGUGGAAGCGUCUGGAAAGGCGCGCGAUACAGGGUGACAGCCCCGUACACAAAAAUGCACAUGCUGUGAGCUCGAUGAGUAGGGCGGGACACGUGGUAUCCUGUCUGAAUAUGGGGGGACCAUCCUCCAAGGCUAAAUACUCCUGACUGACCGAUAGUGAACCAGUACCGUGAGGGAAAGGCGAAAAGAACCCCGGCGAGGGGAGUGAAAAAGAACCUGAAACCGUGUACGUACAAGCAGUGGGAGCACAGAGCAAUCUGUGUGACUGCGUACCUUUUGUAUAAUGGGUCAGCGACUUAUAUUCUGUAGCAAGGUUAACCGAAUAGGGGAGCCGAAGGGAAACCGAGUCUUAACUGGGCGUUAAGUUGCAGGGUAUAGACCCGAAACCCGGUGAUCUAGCCAUGGGCAGGUUGAAGGUUGGGUAACACUAACUGGAGGACCGAACCGACUAAUGUUGAAAAAUUAGCGGAUGACUUGUGGCUGGGGGUGAAAGGCCAAUCAAACCGGGAGAUAGCUGGUUCUCCCCGAAAGCUAUUUAGGUAGCGCCUCGUGAAUUCAUCUCCGGGGGUAGAGCACUGUUUCGGCAAGGGGGUCAUCCCGACUUACCAACCCGAUGCAAACUGCGAAUACCGGAGAAUGUUAUCACGGGAGACACACGGCGGGUGCUAACGUCCGUCGUGAAGAGGGAAACAACCCAGACCGCCAGCUAAGGUCCCAAAGUCAUGGUUAAGUGGGAAACGAUGUGGGAAGGCCCAGACAGCCAGGAUGUUGGCUUAGAAGCAGCCAUCAUUUAAAGAAAGCGUAAUAGCUCACUGGUCGAGUCGGCCUGCGCGGAAGAUGUAACGGGGCUAAACCAUGCACCGAAGCUGCGGCAGCGACACUGUGUGUUGUUGGGUAGGGGAGCGUUCUGUAAGCCUGUGAAGGUGUGCUGUGAGGCAUGCUGGAGGUAUCAGAAGUGCGAAUGCUGACAUAAGUAACGAUAAAGCGGGUGAAAAGCCCGCUCGCCGGAAGACCAAGGGUUCCUGUCCAACGUUAAUCGGGGCAGGGUGAGUCGACCCCUAAGGCGAGGCCGAAAGGCGUAGUCGAUGGGAAACAGGUUAAUAUUCCUGUACUUGGUGUUACUGCGAAGGGGGGACGGAGAAGGCUAUGUUGGCCGGGCGACGGUUGUCCCGGUUUAAGCGUGUAGGCUGGUUUUCCAGGCAAAUCCGGAAAAUCAAGGCUGAGGCGUGAUGACGAGGCACUACGGUGCUGAAGCAACAAAUGCCCUGCUUCCAGGAAAAGCCUCUAAGCAUCAGGUAACAUCAAAUCGUACCCCAAACCGACACAGGUGGUCAGGUAGAGAAUACCAAGGCGCUUGAGAGAACUCGGGUGAAGGAACUAGGCAAAAUGGUGCCGUAACUUCGGGAGAAGGCACGCUGAUAUGUAGGUGAAGUCCCUCGCGGAUGGAGCUGAAAUCAGUCGAAGAUACCAGCUGGCUGCAACUGUUUAUUAAAAACACAGCACUGUGCAAACACGAAAGUGGACGUAUACGGUGUGACGCCUGCCCGGUGCCGGAAGGUUAAUUGAUGGGGUCAGCGCAAGCGAAGCUCUUGAUCGAAGCCCCGGUAAACGGCGGCCGUAACUAUAACGGUCCUAAGGUAGCGAAAUUCCUUGUCGGGUAAGUUCCGACCUGCACGAAUGGCGUAAUGAUGGCCAGGCUGUCUCCACCCGAGACUCAGUGAAAUUGAACUCGCUGUGAAGAUGCAGUGUACCCGCGGCAAGACGGAAAGACCCCGUGAACCUUUACUAUAGCUUGACACUGAACAUUGAGCCUUGAUGUGUAGGAUAGGUGGGAGGCUUUGAAGUGUGGACGCCAGUCUGCAUGGAGCCGACCUUGAAAUACCACCCUUUAAUGUUUGAUGUUCUAACGUGGACCCGUGAUCCGGGUUGCGGACAGUGUCUGGUGGGUAGUUUGACUGGGGCGGUCUCCUCCUAAAGAGUAACGGAGGAGCACGAAGGUUGGCUAAUCCUGGUCGGACAUCAGGAGGUUAGUGCAAUGGCAUAAGCCAGCUUGACUGCGAGCGUGACGGCGCGAGCAGGUGCGAAAGCAGGUCAUAGUGAUCCGGUGGUUCUGAAUGGAAGGGCCAUCGCUCAACGGAUAAAAGGUACUCCGGGGAUAACAGGCUGAUACCGCCCAAGAGUUCAUAUCGACGGCGGUGUUUGGCACCUCGAUGUCGGCUCAUCACAUCCUGGGGCUGAAGUAGGUCCCAAGGGUAUGGCUGUUCGCCAUUUAAAGUGGUACGCGAGCUGGGUUUAGAACGUCGUGAGACAGUUCGGUCCCUAUCUGCCGUGGGCGCUGGAGAACUGAGGGGGGCUGCUCCUAGUACGAGAGGACCGGAGUGGACGCAUCACUGGUGUUCGGGUUGUCAUGCCAAUGGCACUGCCCGGUAGCUAAAUGCGGAAGAGAUAAGUGCUGAAAGCAUCUAAGCACGAAACUUGCCCCGAGAUGAGUUCUCCCUGACCCUUUAAGGGUCCUGAAGGAACGUUGAAGACGACGACGUUGAUAGGCCGGGUGUGUAAGCGCAGCGAUGCGUUGAGCUAACCGGUACUAAUGAACCGUGAGGCUUAACCUU